rnacentral:misc_RNA from 1 species
UCUCCGUAGGUGAACCUGCGGAGGGAUCAUUACAGAGUUCUCGCCCUCGCGGGUAGAUCUCCCACCCACUGUGAUUGCUACCGUGUUGCUUUGGCGGGCCGCCGGGCCCAGCCCAGCCGCCGGCCCCGGCCGGCGCGUGCCCGCCAGAAGCCCCGCGAACUCUGAAUGUCAGCGUCGUCUGGGUACUAUGUAAUAGUUAAAACUUUCAACAACGGAUCUCUUGGUUCUG